CUGCUCAGAUCUUCUGCUUCAGGAAGCAUAGCAGUGAAUCCAGCUACUGCUCCUUGAGGCAUGUCACCAUAUCUGUGCCAAGGCUGUGCCUCUCAAAGUUUGCCCCUAGUCAAUGACCAAGCACAAUGGGUGUACUGAUGCAGACCCAUUCCUACAAGAUGUAGGAUUCUACCAGAAUCCAAUCUACAUUGAGAUCUGAAGUCUUUCCUCCACUACUCCAGCUGUCAUAGGCGUUCGCACCAAUUAAUUUCUAAAUUUGAAGAACCCCUUUCUCAGACACAUCAAAAUCGAACUGUUGAAAACUUAAAGAAAAAAGUCUGAAAAGAGCUAGAGGAAAAAAAUGACACAUUACUUCUAGAAGAACAAUUAUCUGAAUGACAGGGUAUUUCUCAUCUAAAGCCAUGGAGGCAAGAAGGAAGUGGGCAAUAUUUUAAAGUGCUGAGAGAAAAGAGCUGUCAACCCAGAAAUCUAUAGUCAGUGAAAAUAUCCUUCAGGAAUGAAGGUGAAAUGAAGAUACUCUCAGAUGAAAGGAAACUAAGUAAAUUUGCUUAUUGCUUAAAAAUAAUCCUGAAGAAUGUUCUUCAAAUGGAAGGAAAACGACCCUAGAGCGAAACUUGGAACACCAGGGAUAAAGAACAACAAAAAAUAGU